rnacentral:rRNA from 1 species
AUUGAACGCUGGCGGCAUGCCUAACACAUGCAAGUCGAACGGCAGCACAGUAAAGAUUUCGGUCUUUAUGGGUGGCGAGUGGCGGACGGGUGAGUAAUGCGUAGGAAUCUGUCCUGGAGAGUAGGAUAACCCGAGGAAACUCGGGCUAAUACUGCAUGAUAUCGAGAGAUCAAAGGCAGGGGACCCUUCGGGGCCUUGCGCUCUAGGAUGAGCCUACGGCGGAGUAGCUAGUUGGUGGGGUAAAGGCCUACCAAGGCGACGAUCCGUAGCUGGUCUGAGAGGAUGACCAGCCACACUGGGACUGAGACACGGCCCAGACUCCUACGGGAGGCAGCAGUGGGGAAUCUUGGACAAUGGGGGAAACCCUGAUCCAGCGAUGCCGCGUGUGUGAAGAAGGCCUUCGGGUUGUAAAGCACUUUAGUUGGGGAAGAAAAGUAAUGAGUGAAUAACUGAUUGCUCUGACGGUACCCAAAGAAUAAGCACCGGCUAACUCUGUGCCAGCAGCCGCCGUAA